rnacentral:rRNA from 1 species
AUUGAACGCUGGCGGCAGGCCUAACACAUGCAAGUCGAGCGGAUGAAGGGAGCUUGCUCCUGGAUUCAGCGGCGGACGGGUGAGUAAUGCCUAGGAAUCUGCCUGGUAGUGGGGGAUAACGUCCGGAAACGGGCGCUAAUACCGCAUACGUCCUGAGGGAGAAAGUGGGGGAUCUUCGGACCUCACGCUAUCAGAUGAGCCUAGGUCGGAUUAGCUAGUUGGUGGGGUAAAGGCCUACCAAGGCGACGAUCCGUAACUGGUCUGAGAGGAUGAUCAGUCACACUGGAACUGAGACACGGUCCAGACUCCUACGGGAGGCAGCAGUGGGGAAUAUUGGACAAUGGGCGAAAGCCUGAUCCAGCCAUGCCUCGUGUGUGAAGAAGGUCUUCGGAUUGUAAAGCACUUUAAGCUGGGAGGAAGGGCAGUAAGUUAAUACCUUGCUGUUUUGACGUUACCAACAGAAUAAGCACCGGCUAACUUCGUG